rnacentral:rRNA from 1 species
UCCGUAGGUGGUUUCGUAAGUCAUAUGUUAAAUCUUCAGGCUCAACCUGGAGGCCGCGUGUGAUACUGCGAGACUAGAGGAUGGGAGAGGCAGACGGAAUUGUUGGUGUAGCGGUAAAAUGCGUUAAUAUCAACAAGAACACCAAAGGCGAAGGCAGUCUGCUGGAACAUUCCUGACACUGAGGGACGAAAGCGUGGGUAGCGAAUC